UUCACUCCUCUCCUACAUUCUUUUGCAAAACCCCUUUGGGGCUCUUUACUGGAGACACUUGCUUUGAUUUCUAUAUUGCUUUUAGUCUCCUGGCUGUUUUUCUUGCUUAAUAUCUGGCAACUCGAUUUUCCCUUCAAGUAUGCCAACCAAUUCAGUUAGAAAGUCACAUUCAAGAAGAAAGGCCUGACUCGAGGCAGAAGCCUUGCCGGAGUCUGACUCUGAAUGCAGCAAGCCUGGGCCUCAGCUGGCCUGUCUUGUGCCUUGGUACUGUCUUCCCUUGAUUUUCCUUGAUUUUCUUUGUCCCUCCUUCUCAAGCCUUUCUGCCUGCUAAUUAACAGUGUCGAUACUUAAAGCAAUUUGCUGACCUCAACCCUCAUGUGCUGUAUGCCAGGACUGCCAGCAAACUUGGGACUUCAAGGUGAUGAAAGUUGUUACAGCUUUUAUGGCACUAAGGCAAAAGUGUGUUAACCAGGAACAACUUAUUCUGUAUGUAUGUAAGAUCUCGUGGGAAUGUUUAACCCUGUUGAAAUUGUAUUCAGGAAUAAUGUUUUUACAGAUUUCUUCUUACAUUCCUUCAGUGAUAAUCCGGAUAAUUUUAUAAUCCUUUUAUAGCUGCAGCAAAUAUCCAGUUGUGUUUUAUUAUUGUACAGAGUGAAUAUGUUUUAUUAUCUAAGAUAACAGAUUUAUGUUUGUGUGGCUAAUGCACCUUCUGGGGGUUCAGGUUGAAUGUGUGAAGCUAGACUGUACCUUCUACCUGGAACGACCAUAUUGAAACUGUUAAUUCUAUCCAUUGUAAAAUAGCACCAUUCUAUUGCCUCCAGUGAAUGACAAACUUAAUACCUAAAAAGUUGUAUUUACAGAGAAAAUAUAUUUGAAAGUGAAUUCUGAUCUGCAAAAUAAAUUUUAUUUGAAAGAAUUUUUUU
rnacentral:lncRNA from 1 species